UGCAAUUUUUGCAGAUUCAUUAAUUUUUUUUGGCAUAUUUACGCCAGUUAACCCCCGUAAAUAGGGUGUAGUGCUCUAUGGUUAGAAAAGUUAAAUCUUUUUUUUGGCUUCGGCUGUAAGUGAUUUAUUCGCAUAAAAUUACCUAAAAUUACAUAUAAUGACUGUUUUUUUAGGAAAGUCUUGACUAAAACACGUGCCAGCAGUCGCGGCAACACGGGGCAGACAAGUGUUAUUCAUCUUUAAUAGGUUUAAAGGGUACCUAGACGGCAAAUUUAACCCCCGAAAGGUAAUGAACAUUUUUGCUAGAGUUUUAUGUGAGAGGAAUUUAGUACUAACAGAGUAGAGAUGAAAUUCUUUGAUACUGUAGGGCACUGAUAACGGCGAAGGCAGACCUUUAUGUAAAAACUGACGUUGAGGGACGAAGGCUCGGGUAACAAACAGGAUUAGGUACCCUAAUAGUCCAAGCAGAGAAUUAUGAGUGCCAUAGAUUAGAAAUACUUUGGUCUAUAAAUGAAAGUGUAAGCAUUCCACCUUAAGAGUAAUGCGGCAACGUAGGAACUAAAAUCAUUAGACCGUUUCUGAUACCAGUAGUGAAGUAUGUUGUUUAAUUCGAUGACCCACGAAAAAUCUUACCACAAUUUGAAUACUACAGCACUUUUUAGGUGUGUGCUGUUUUACAGGUGCUGCAUGGCUGUCUUCAGUUGAUGUCGUGAGGCGCAGGUUAGAUCCACUAAUCAACGUGUAACCCUUAUUUUAUUUUGUAUAAAUAGAGUAGUUUCCCUGGGACAUCGGAAUGAUAACUGGG
rnacentral:rRNA from 1 species